rnacentral:rRNA from 1 species
UACGAAGGGGGCUAGCGUUGUUCGGAAUCACUGGGCGUAAAGCGCACGCAGGCGGAUUGAUAAGUCAGGGGUGAAAUCCCGGAGCUCAACUUCGGAAUUGCCUUUGAUACUGUCUGUCUUGAGUCCGGGAGAGGUGAGUGGAAUUCCUAGUGUAGAGGUGAAAUUCGUAGAUAUUAGGAAGAACACCAGUGGCGAAGGCGGCUCACUGGCCCGGUACUGACGCUCAUGUGCGAAAGCGUGGGGAGCAAACA